rnacentral:tRNA from 1 species
UCCCUGGUGGUCCAAUGGUGAAGACUCUGCACUUCUAAAGCAAGAUGCAGGUUCAAUCUCUGGUCAGGGAG